rnacentral:rRNA from 1 species
UACGUAGGGGGCAAGCGUUGUCCGGAAUCAUUGGGCGUAAAGCGCGUGUAGGCGGCCCGGUAAGUCCGCUGUGAAAGUCGGGGGCUCAACCCUCGGAUGCCGGUGGAUACUGUCGGGCUCGAGUACGGAAGAGGCGAGUGGAAUUCCUGGUGUAGCGGUGAAAUGCGCAGAGUAUCAAGGAAGAACACCCGUGGCGGAAGGCGGCUCCUCUGGGACGGUACU